rnacentral:tRNA from 1 species
GGCUCAGCCCCGAGGAGCGGAGCGCGGACGCCCGUGGCUCCUGCUCCCCGGGGCGCGAAGCCUCUCCCCGCCCCACGGCGGGGGCUCGGGCAAGAGGCGGCCUUCGCCUUCCCAGCACAGGGACAGUCGUCGCGGGCCCCCGGGCACCUGGGAAAGAGGCGAGAACCGCGGCGCGGGCAGCUGCGCCCUCAGCUGCGGGCCCAGCACCCGGGCAGGCCCCGCGGCCCCCGCCCGCCCCGAGCUCGCCCUCGGGCAAAGCCGGCUGGGAACCCGCAGGGCCUGGCCGCCGGGCCGGGAUCGCGGUCGUGGGCGCCGGAGACCUCCAGAUAAAAUACACGCGGACCUGUUCUCCUCGAUGUUCAGGCAAACCACGGGGCCAGCUUCACAUUCAUACGUGCCUGGGAGCUCCGUGUUUUGUCUGGAGACGCACCCCCGUGCACCCACGGCGCUAAAUAAAACAUUCAGCUGCGCUUCAAGAUCUCACUGACCUUUGUGCACUGGCAGCAUCGGACGUAGCCAAGGAGUUUAUCCGAGGCGCGAGUAUCGCGAAAGAUCUAACCGACUUUAUUAAACGAUUCACAAAUCAGGUCACAUCCCAUCUAGCAAAUAGAAGAAGCUGCGAGGAAUGGUACUACCUGGAAGGUGCUGACAGCCGGACGCUGGGGCAAGCAACUCGUUAGCAAACGGAAAGGAUUGUUCCGGGAAAGACCACUUUGCCUUGGGGGAGAGGCAAGCGGUCUUAUCUGCUCGGGACUCCCUCCCUGCCCAAGGGGAAGACUGGCACUAACAACAACAGCAACAAAAAGCCUGACUACUGGUAAAGACUACUUUUCUGGAGAAAUUCGAAACUGCAAUUAUUUGUUUAAUAUUUUUGCUUACAAUUUCUUUUUUUUACACAUUUUAUUUUUUUAAGUAAACUCCACACCCAGUGUGGGGCUGGAACCCACAACCAUAAGAUCAAGAGUUACACACUUUACUCAGCUAGCCAGGUGCCCCUAAAUUGGAAUUAGAUUAAUAUUAAUCCACAAUUUAGGAACUCAAUGGAAUUGAUAUCAUUCUCGGGGUCUAUGGUUUUCUUUUUAACACUGGGGCAGCAAAAUCCCCCCUCCACCCCAACCCACCCUUACUGUCAUACCUUGAGAAUCACUGCUUUAUAAGAUACAUGGGACAGCAGACUUCACUGAAGAAGAUGACUUGGCCUCUAAACACAAAUACUCCUGGGAACAAACUGUCAAGCAUUCAAGAGAGCCAAGUAGCAAAGGUUUUGUAUUUUGCUUCUCUACCCUGGCAAUUCUCCACAAGGUGUUUGUUUAUUUUUGUCACUGUUCAUUGUUUUGAGAUUUUAUGUAGAUGAAUUUAUUUAUUUACCUUUUAAAGAUUUUAUUUGACACAGAAAGAGACAGAGAGAGCACCAGGUGGGGGAGUGGGAGAGGGAGAAGCAGGCUUCCCCACUGAGCAGGGAUCCUGUUGCAGGGCUCCAUCCAGGACCCAGGGAUCAUAGAGCCCAGGGAUCAUGACCUGAGCCCGAAGACAGGUGCUUCACCACCUGAGCCCCCCAGGUGCCUCAAUGUUUUUGUCACCGUUGUUAAAAAGAAAAUCACAGCCUGAAAAUGAUGUCACUUAGGUUAAGGCCUCAAGUCAGUAAAGCAGCACUUAAUGCUUCACCUAACUGCAUCAGCCCCACAGAAAUGUAGCCUUCAACUAGUCAACAUGGAGAUUUCCUGGUCAGCACUAGGAAGCUGACUAAUAGACCCCUUCAUCCCUCUUAGAAGGGAAACCUAGCCUAAAACAAUGGGUUCUUGGCUAAUCGUUUCCUUUCUUCCACUGCUUCUUCAUGUUUAAAAACACUUCCUUUUCUGUAGCCCUUUGAUGCUUCCCUCUACUUGCUAGAUGGGAUCCUGCCUGACUCAUGAAUCAGUUAAUAAAGCAAAUUAGAUUUUUAAAAUUUA